UACGGUGUGUGCAAGCGUUACUCGGAAUCACUGGGCAUAAAGCGCGCGUAGGCGGGGCGUCAAGUCGGUUGUGAAAUCCCUCAGCUUAACUGAGGAGCUGCAGCCGAUACUGUCGCUCUUGAGAACGAAAGGGGAGAGUGGAACUUCUGGUGAAGCGGUGAAAUGCGUAGAUAUCAGAAGGAACGCCGGUGGCGAAAGCGACUCUCUGGUUCGUUACUGACGCUGAGGCGCGAAAGCUUGGGUAGCAAACGGG
rnacentral:rRNA from 1 species